rnacentral:lncRNA from 1 species
GAUAGUUCACUUAAGUUCAUGUGUUGAUACCCCACAACAAAACGGAAUCGCUGAAAGGAAAAAUAGGCAUUUGUUAGAGGUGGCUAGAUCACUAAUGUUCUCCAUGAAUGUUCCAAAAUUAUUCUGGGGGCAAGCUGUCCUUACGGCAACCUACCUCAUCAAUAGGAUGCCGUCUAGGGUACUAAAAUUCCAAACACCUUGUCAAACACUCUUAAAAUCCUUUCCGACUACUCGUCUCAUCUCCACCAUCCCACCCAAAAUUUUCGGGUGCUCUGUCUUUGUUCAUAUCAAUCAACAACAUAGAAGUAAACUUGAUCCUAGGUCACUCAAGUGCAUCUUUCUUGGGUAUUCUUCAAAUCAAAAAGGGUAUAAGUGGUACUCUCCGGUCACAAGAAAAUUCUACAAUUCAAUGGAUGUCACCUUUUUUGAAACCCAGCCUUACUAUCCCAAAAACGAUAUUCAGGGAGAGAAUUCAACUCAGGAAUAUCAAUUUUGGGAUCUUGAGUCAUUCAGUGAGUCACCCAUCACCACUGAAAAUCACAUUCCUCCAGAGUCAUUUAAUCAACCCGAGUCCAUUGUUGACUUGUGGGAUAAGGAGCACAUCCAAGAGGAAACGAAGGAAAGAGCACUUUCUCAACAAACCCAUGAGGCAGAACCGGGUCCUAAUCCAAGCAAACUUCCAGGUAACAACGCUCCUGAUGGUACUGUUGAUUCCGAGUUAGAAAAUGAUAUUCUUAAUAUGCCCAUAGCUUGGAGGAAAGGAGUUAGAUCAUGCACUCAGCAUCCCAUUGGAAAUUUUAUUUCUUAUGAUAAGCUAUCACCUACGUUUCGUGCAUUCACUUCUAGCAUCACAGAGAUACAAGUUCCUCAGAAUAUUCAAGAAGCUUUCAAGUAUCCUAAGUGGAAGGCGGCAGUCGAUGAGGAAGUUCGGGCGUUGGAAAAGAAUGGUACGUGGGAAAUUACUGACCUCCCAAGAGGUAAGAAACCAGUUGGGUGUAAGUGGAUUUUCACAGUAAAGUACAAGGCAGAUGGUAAUGUGGACAGGAAUAAGGCUCGGUUGGUCGCCAAAGGAUUCACCCAAUCCUAUGGCAUUGACUAUCAAGAAACUUUUGCUCCAGUUGCCAAGCUCAAUACUGUUCGUGUACUUUUAUCCUUGGCAGCUAAUCUCGAUUGGUCGCUUCACCAACUUGAUGUGAAGAAUGCCUUCCUCAAUGGUGACUUAGAGGAAGAAGUUUACAUGGACAUUCCUGUUGGACUUGAGGCGACAUCAAAUUUCAACAAGGUUUGCAGACUUCGAAAAUCCUUGUAUGGUCUUAAACAAUCUCCCAGGGCCUGGUUUGAACGGUUCACUAAGGUAGUGAAAGGGUACGGAUUCGUUCAAUGUCAAUCCGAUCACACAUUAUUUGUGAAACACUUCCCAGAAGGAAAACUGGCAAUUAUCAUUGUAUAUGUGGACGACAUAAUUUUGACAGGUGAUCAUGAAGAGAAAAUUGACUUACUUAAAAAAUUACUGACAAAGGAAUUUGAGAUCAAGGAUCUUGGAAACCUCAAGUACUUUCUCGGAAUGGAGAUUGCUAGGUCAAAGAAAGGUAUAGCAGUCUCACAACGCAAAUACGUUCUGGACUUAUUGAAUGAAACAGGAAUGCUAGGAUGCAAGCCGGCAGAAACACCUAUGGAUACAACUGUCAAACUGGAAGAAAGUGAUGGAAGUGCGCCAGUUGAUAAAGGAAGAUAUCAACGUCUUGUGGGGAAACUCAUCUAUCUUUCUCAUACAAGGCCAGACAUCGGCUUCUCCGUUAGUGUGGUAAGUCAAUUCAUGAAUAAUCCAACCGAAAAACACAUGACUGCUGUGAUCAGAAUAUUGAGAUACCUCAAGAUGACACCGGGAAAGGGUCUCUUCUUUCAAAGAACAACAAAGAAAGAGAAUGAAAUUUUUUCAGACGCAGAUUGGGCAGGUUCAGUGACUGAUCGGAGAUCAACUUCAGGCUAUUGUUCAUUUGUCUGGGGGAACUUGGUUACAUGGCGAAGCAAGAAACAGUCAGUGGUAGCCUGUAGCAGUACUGAGGCAGAAUUUCGUGCUAUGGCACAAGGUAUCUGCGAGGGAAUCUGGUUGAAUAGGCUGUUAGAAGAAUUACGGGUUCCAUUGAAGCAUCCCAUGGUGUUAUAUUGCAACAAUCAAGCUGCCAUCAGUAUCGCUAAGAAUCCGGUUCAUCAUGAUCGAACUAAGCACGUGGAGAUAGAUCGACACUUUAUCAAGGAAAAGAUUGAAGAAGGAGUUUUCAAAGUCAGCUACACUCCGACAAACUGUCAAACGACUGACAUUCUCACAAAAGCUCUUGCUCGAGUUAACUUCGAAGAUCUGACAGAAAAACUUGGAAUGAUCAACAUCUACAACGCGGCUUGAGGGGGAGUGUUGGAAAUCAAGCCAGCAUCCUCUAUUUACUUCCCUAAUUAGUGUAAUGUACAGCCUUUAUUAUAAUUGAUUUAGGAGUAAUUCUAGUAAGGUAGUUUAUUCACUUUCCAUGUAAGAGUAGUUUAUUCACUUUCCAUGUAAGAGUAGUUUAUUUACUUUCUAUGUAAGAGUAGUUUAUUUAAUUCCCAUGUAAGAGUUUAUUCACUUUCCAUGUAAGGGAAAUUCCAUUCCGGAAUUGUCUCAUAUCCAUAGGCUAUUUAUUUAUGCUUUCAUUCAUUGUAAAGGGAGGUAUCACAGAAUGAAUUGAGGUGUUCCUCCAUAUUUUGUCUUCAAAUUCCUUCAUAUUUUUCUUCAAAUUCUUCAGCAUGAAUUAAUAUCACAAAUUCCAUUAUUUUGGAAUUAUGAAAAAUUCAUUCAUGCUUAUUAAAAAUAUUGAAAAAUGAGAAAAUUAUUAAAAACCAAAUAAAAUCACAACAUGCAUGCCUGAAUAAAAAAAAUGGUGGCAAGUUUAUUAAAAAUUAGGUUUUGGUGAAUCAGGAUUUUAAUGAAGAAAAGAAAAAAAAGAAGAAAAUAACAAUCAUAAUAAUAAUAAUAAUAAUGACAAACAAAUAAAUAAAUGAAUAAAAGAAAGUAAAAUAAUAAAAUAAAUAAAUAAAUAAUUAUAUGAAAUAUGAAUAAAUAAAAUAAUUAAAUUAGGUGAAUAAACAAAUUAAAUAAAUAAAUUUAAAAGAUUUGAAACCAUUUGAAAGACAAAUUUUUGAAAAUCAAGUUUUGAAACUUAUUUGAAAAUUGAAGUUUUAAGAACUAAAUCAUAAAUUUGGAAUUUUAGAAAAAUAAUUUGAAAUUGGAAGUCAUGAAAAUUGGAACUUGGAAAAAUUAUUUGGGAAUGAGAUUUCUUAAAAAUUAAAUCUGAAAAUUAGAAUUUUAGAAAAUUAUUUGAGAAUGGAAAUUUCUAAAAGAAUAAAUUUGAAAAUUGGAAUUUUGAAAAAUUAUUUGAAAAUUAAAGUUUGGAAAAUUAAAUUUGAAAUUUGGAGUUUUAAAAAUUAUUUGAAAGAAAUUGGAGUUCUGAAAAUGAAAUUUGGAAUUUUAGAAUUUUUGGAAAAUUAAAUUUAAAAAUUUGAAUCUUGGAAAACUAAAUUCAAAAUUAGAGUCUUAGAAAAUUAUUUUGAGAAUUGAAUUUUCAAGAAUUAAAUUUUAAAAUUGGAGUUUUGGAAAAUUGAAUUUCGAGAAUUAAAGUUUUGAAAAUUAUUUAAAAAUUGGAAUUUUAAAAAUUAAAUUUAAGAAUUGGAGCUUCAAAAGUUAAAGUUUUGAAGAUCAUUCAAAAGUUAUAGUUUUGAAAAUUAUUUAUGCAAGUGGAAAACACGUGUAUGUGGGCUUGGGACUAAACGAUUAAAUGGCAAGUUGUCUUUGAAUUACAUAAUCGAAAUUUUCAUCGUAACUUCUGGAGGCUGCCAAUUAUGGAGAGUAUCAAAGCUGGGAAUAAAUAAAAGCUGGCCACGUGCACAUUGAAAUGGUUAUACAUAUGGAUUGCAAGCAUAUAGGAGAGAAUAGCAAGGAGCUGGUAGUUAGGUGGGUUAGGUGAUUGAAAAGUGAAGAAAUGAUCUGGAAUGGUUGGAGCUAGGGACCAAAGAUGCCCAACUUUUGCAUGACCCCAUUGAUCACGUUCACAUGUCAUUGCCCAUGCAAGAGUGUUCCCAGUCGUUGGUCAUAUACUCAUGUGUAUCCUCCUGUCUCGCAUUCUGAAGUUCCAAGAUAUGCACCAUGAGUUAGAGAUAAGAUCCUUGGGUGCUAAUAUUCUUCCAGUUGACUGAAGAGCACGACUGACAUGCUUCUGGAUAGCACACAAAGUGCAAAAUCCAACAAUAUGACACGAAUUUUGAUGCUUUCAGUUUUGCAAACAUGUUGCUAAAGACUCUGUUCUCCAUAUGAUCAGUCUCAUAUCUCUUCCUCCCACUCGAAGCCGCCAGACCUAUACUGUGCCUAGGUCACUUCGGAUCCGUGAUGGGGUUCGGAGUCUCUUGUCGAAAACCUCCUCUGUUGUCGUUAGUGAAGCCUAAGAAAGGCUUUCUUGUGAGAUGAAACUCGGUUCUUCUGUAGAACAAGGACCCAACUAAAGACGGGUGCGGCGAAGCUAAGGGACCAUUUUCCUGAGCAUUGGCUUAUGAGAAGACCAUUCAGAUGGGUGUAUGAGUUUAAUGGAUGUGAGGAAUGAGAAUAUGAGUGAUAGAGCAGACACGUAGGGCAAGUUAUUAAUGAAGGUAUGAGGGAUGAGGAUGUGUGUGGUGGAACAAAUAAGGAGUGGAGGAUGAAACCUGGAAGUGUUGAGGAACGGAACCUAAGUAGUGUCGGGUGGGUAAAACUGAUGAAUAUUUGGCUUGGGAUUUGGGUCUGAUAGAGAGGCUUUGAUUGAGGCUUUGCAAAUGUGGCCAUGCAUGAGUUAUUUACAUGCUUAUGAAUGGUGGGGGGUGGGGGGAGGAAACUCAAACCAGAUUUGAAAAUAAGAACAAAUUAUCCCCAAGCCAAAAGCCAAAGUAAAAAUAAAUAAAUAAACCAACAACAACACACCUAUGAAUGACUCAAAAAUCUAAUAAAUUCAAACACAUAACCUGAUGUUCACGCUUAGCAAACAAUCCACAAAAAGAAAUAGCAAGAAAUAAGAAGAAAUUAUUAUGAAGAAGCAGAAUCGAGAAUUGACAACAAUCAUAUCUGAGCAAGUCUUCUCGAUUGAAGCUCACCCCACUUCCAAGCUUUUCUCUUUUUUUCUUUUCAAAACAAAAUGGAUCUCACCUUAGCUUUCUCUUCCUACCUUUCGGUUUCUUCUCCCUGUUCCCUUUUGAUACCCGUUCUCCCCAUUUUUUCCUUCUCCCAAAACCUCACCUGCUCCAAACUCUCUCACACGUCUCUUUCCCGUCCCAUUUUUAGACUUCUUUUCUACAUCCAUUUUUUCACCUUUCUCCCAUGUUCUUUCUUUUCAUGCAAGCUCUAAUCGGCUCCCUGCUUCAACCAUCAUUUCAUCUAUUUUGUUCCAGCCAUCCCCUUCCCCAACAACUCCUUCAAAUGAAAUGCCUAGUUUACUCGGUCUCAAUGAGGGGUGGUAAAAAAUAAAAAUAAAAAAAACCUUUGGUUUAUAAUGGGGUCUAUAGUGGUAUUUAUUUUUUACUUUUCUCUAAAAUUUGAAUAAACCUAAAUUAUUAUUAUUUUUUAUCUUAAUUUUAAAAUGUCAAAAAUCGUUAAUCUAUUUUCUAUUUGUAGUAUGAAGAUUCGAAAAAUUCUUACUUCCCAUAAUGUUUGAACUUAUAUUUACCAUUUUUUUCUUCUUGAUCUAACAACAAGCUUGACUGCACAAACUUAGUCAGCAAUGAGAAUAAAAGUGACGAGGGUGAUAAAGUUCUCCCUAUACUGUAAUCCUGAUGGACUAAAAGGCCCAAAAUUCAUCUUAAUGGGUCAAAGUGAAGCCAUGAGCCUCUUUACAAUAGAUUAAAUUGAUUAUGGCCCAAAAUAAUACCCAUGCACAACCAAACAUAGUUUACAAUAUAUGUAGUCCAAUAACAUAAUUUCAACAUAUGAUUACAUUUUACUCUCCCUUUAAUGUUAAAUGACUUGAAAUAGUAAAAAGUUUUAUUUGAAAAUUUUUAUAUUUUCAAACUCUUGAUUCCUCUUUAUAAAUGUGGAUAAAGUUAAAGUUAGAGAAAUAAUGAAAAGAAUUAUUAAAAUUUAUUAAUCUUGAAGAGAAGUAUAAAAAAUGAAAAAUUAAUGAAAAAUUUUAUUAAAAUUUGCUAAGGUUAAUAUUUUUUUGUUAAUUUAUUUAUUACUUUAUUUUUCUUCAAUGUUAUUUUUCCUAGUAAUAUAAAUGUGGAUUUGGGAAGUACAUAUGCCAUUAUAUGACCCAAAAAUUAUUGGUUAUAGAAUAUUAGAAAUUCCGUAAUAACAUAAUUCACAUACAUUUUAUCUCAAAGUUAAAAUAGUCUUACCAGUUGUUAUAUAUCUAUUAGUGUAGUAGAUUUUGAGCUUGUCUUAAAAGUUCUUGCCUAUUGAUGCCUUUAUCAACUACUUUGCAAACCAAUUAUCCAAACUUGAAACACAAGAUGGUUGGGUGGUCAUCCAUCACAUCGCUUAUGGUUAAGUCAAUGGAUAACAAAAAAAGAAAGUGUUGAGAGUAGAUGCAAAAAUAAAUAUGGGAAUACGAGUGAGAGGAUAUGAUAGAUGAAGCUUAUUCUCUCUACUAGAACUUGAUCGGACCUUUAUAGUUCAUUACGUUAACCUAACCGCUAGGAGGUAAGUAGUUACCAUGUUAAAAAAAUUGGAAAAUAUUAAGGAAUGGAAUUGGUUACUAUUGACUUCCACCUUGAUUGUUGACUUUUGAAAAAUUAAUUUAGAUUGUUGGAUAAAGAUACAAAGAAAUAAGAAAAAAGCAUAAAAGUUCAAAUAAAUUAAACAUGAGAUCUAAAGGUACCAACUAGUGACCAAGACACCGAUUGGUGAUGUCUUUUCAAUAUCUAUAGGAAAAAAAGUACAUUUCGGUAUUAUGGUAAGAUCUUAAAACCCUUCUGUAUGUCUAGUGAUUGUUCAUUUUCUGGGGCGUUGAAAAGAAUUGUUUCUCCAACUAUAUUACUACCAUCACCGAUGUCCUCAUCAGUCAUGAGGCCUAGAUCAAUGACCAGCUUCGAUUCUAUCUUUUCUUCUCCAAAAUACUCUUGUGCAUUUCAAAUUAGGAGCCAAAAUCUGGUCAAAGAGAAACAAUAACCCAAAUUCAAUUCGGUUAACCAGCCAUUGAUGAAAGGUCUCUACAGAUUGUUGUAUUCUUCGCUUCACGGUGAUGAAAUGUAUAUCCGGGGACUGAAUCACUAGCUAUUUAAUUCGGCUUUCAGAUCUCUAGUUUCGGUUCUUAUGCUAGCCAUGUUCGCCACCAUGGCAUUGAUUUAUGUUGUCGACCGGUGAGUUCUCGCACUGUUUUGUAUUGUGAAAUGUUUUUUCGUUUCUUAGUUGUAAUAGUGCUCAUGGUGUGGUUAAUUUCAUUAAUUUAGGUUUUUUUUUUAAUUAUAAUUGGUCUAUUUUUUUUUAAAAAAAAAAAAAUUGUUUUUAUCAAAAUUUGCUAUUGGUAGGCUAUGGUUGGAUUCUAAGAAUAAGGUUUAUUUGAUUAAAGAGCUUGAUAUUGUUAUUCAAUUGUAGCUUCAAAUUUUCUUCCCCAUAGUUUGUUAAUGCAUUUUUUGGGACUAUUUUGUUAUCGUGAUUAAAUUAUAGAAUUAUAAUGAUACAAAUGGGGUUUUGACAUUGUAUAUAUGGAAUCGGAAUCAGUCCAUCAUGAUUUAAAUUAAUUAUAUGUUCUAUAACAUUACAUUGCAAUGCCAAAUAAACUGGUGAUUUGCAUGAGCUCAUUUUUUUUUCUUUUCUUUCAUUAUGUUUUUGUCUUUUUUUUUUUCUUUUAUUGAAAUGCAUUACAUUUCCUAUUUUCAUUUUUCGAAAUUAAUCAUUUAGAGUAAUUGACUAGAUAAUGGGUUUUUCUAUUUUAAUAGUUUUUAGGUACAAUGAGCCAAUGACACAUUGCAAAUUAUAGCAUGCAAGUAAAUAAAUUAUAGCUAUCCUUCCUUCAUGUGGGGUUCUUUUUUUUGGGCUUUUGUUAUAAUAGAUAAAAUAUAAUCUAGAGGUCAUGGUGAUGGUUCUUCAAUUUUAUAAGAACAAUAUAAGAAGUUAGCAGCCCCGUAAGAUGGAGUUAGUUGCAGCAUAACAGGAAGAUUUUAUCUCAAAGAACUUGCUAGAAAAUAAGAAGACGACUCCUAAGAAAAAGCUUUUAGCUAUUGUAGGAAUUAUGACAAAGUUUGGCCACAAGAACAAUAGAGAUGCAAUCCAUAGGGCAUGGAUGCCAACUAGUAUAAUACCCUUCCUUUUGUAAGUUUUGCUCUUUAUUCUUUGUAUGAUUUACAUAGAGAAUAACCCAAUUGCCACUUAACAGAUUGACAUUUCUGUUAUAAGCAUAUAAAGGAAAAAAAAACAGGAAGCUUGUAGGUUGAACUCUUAUUAACAUGAAAACUUUUAGUGGACUACCAUUUCUCUUCUAUUCUUUUUUCAUUGUUUCGUUUAUUUUCUUAGUUUGCAAUAGUCAUAUUUCAAUAGUUUGCAAACUCCAUAAACCAAUUUGAAAAACCUUGAAGUUAACAGGUGCAAAUUAUGAGAAGCUAAAAUCUUGUUUCUCUAGGAUUUUUUUGAAGUUACUCAAUUGAAUGGAGAACAUAAAACUAUCAAGAGGCCCUGCCCCUACCCCUACCCUGCACCCUCUAUACCCCUGUUUACAGAAAUUUUGAGUUUGUCUUUAAAGUAAUAAGGAAGACAAUAGUUUGUAUAAUAAUGAAACAGGAAGUAAUAUUGUGAUUCAUUGCUGCAAAAAGUAAUAUUGACAUAACUUAUGUGUUAAACUACACUUAAAUGCUUAGCACAAAAGUAUGUUAUUCUUCAUUUGAGAGCAUUAAUUUAAACCUUAUAUGUUAGCAUCACUUUUUCCAUAACUAAUUUUUUCCCCCUUAUCCAAGACAAUGCAUAUCGAGUGAUUGAUUCUUAAGUUAAUAGCCUUGGCACCCACAUGGGGUGAAGUUUGAAUCCAGAAUUUCCCAAUAGUCUUAAUACGCUUCCUCGAGUGUGUUCAAACUUAAGACGUCAAUGGUAAACCACCACUUUACCAAACAAUUUUAAGUUACUAAGUAAUAGGCUAGCAAUGGGAUAUUAAGCUUGAGCAAUUCUUUUAUAAUGUUUAAUGGUUUAAACGUUGACAAUUAAAACACUUACAAAAGCAUGAUGACUUACCCAUUAUUUUUGUACAAAUACUUUAAAAGCAACUCUUGCUACUCAUUUGAAUAAGCCUCGAGUUCAUAUUGGGUGUAUGAAAUCAGGCAAAGUUUUCUCAAAUUUGUGAGUAUAAUCAAAGUUUUUUUUUCUUCUAAAGAUGAGAAAACGAGUUGUUUAUGAUAUUCUACUUUCAUAAAAACUAUGAGAAAACAAUCUGUUAAGCAUUGCCAUCAUGGAAGAUAUUGAACCUAAAGUCCAAAAGAUGUAUGAAAGCACAACCAAAGAAAUCGAGGACUGAUCUACACCUUCUCCUAAUCGAGAGAGGAGUGUGAGGUCAUGUGUCAUGGUGAGAUGUGUGGGAUAAAAGAAUGUAAUGAUCAAGCUCUAGUAAGAUAGAAAACACGAAAGUAUCAAAGGUGAAAUGUUUGAGUAAGAAAUGAAAGGUAGGCAGACAUUCGAAAUCAUCCAAGUAUGCCAAGAAGACUAAACCUAAGGUGUCAAUAGCUCCAUAAUCCAUCAAAAGCAGCAAUCAUAAACAAAAAGUCAAGUCUCGAUGUCAAAACAUCUACCAAUCAAUAUCAUCAACAUCCCAAUCAAUCUACUGAAGACUAGGAAGAGAGGGAACUGCAUGUGUAAAAUGUGUAGGCAGGGGAUUGGUGGUCACACUUGGUCCAAACAAGUUGACCAACCUUGAAUCAAUCAAGUCCUUUAUCACAUGAUGGAGCGCCACACAACACUCAGCAUCAUGCCCUUGAAUAUGAUGAUAUAAGCAAUACUCAUGUAAGCAAAAAUGAGGAAGAAUAGGAUACGGCAAAGGGCGUGGUGCCAAAGAAACAAUCACACCAGCGUCUCUGAGUUUUUCAAAAGCUCUAGUCAAAGUCAUGCUCAAUGGAGUGAACUGUAUCGUGAGCCUUGGUGCAUAUGGUCUAGGUAAUAGGGGAGUAGCUCGGAUGUGGUGGCCGUGAUUGCAUGCUAGUCCGAGCAAUGUAAGGCUGCUAAACAUAAAUUGACUGAUACGAUGUUGUGGAUGAGAGAAAUGAGCUCUAAUUGUAGGAGGCCUAUAAAGCGAGUGAUAUGCAAGCCUUUGAUGCUGAUAGCUAAUGGUGUCAACCUCUCCAGACCUACUAGAUAAUCUAACCGGCUUCUUUCCCUUAUUGUUAGGGGAAGGAGCAGUAUUUGUCCAUAAUCCUAGAGCAAUGGCCUCCUCAACACUGAGAGCUGCAUGAACUAGACUCUUAAGAUCCUGAAAUGGAAUGCCCACAAGGCGUCUAACAAACCUUGGCUAUAGGUUCCGAAGAACCAUAUCAAUCUGAUCCCGCUUCUUAGGUCAGUUUAUCAUACCUGCCACAUUUGCCCUCCAACAAUUGACAAAUGAGGAAAUAGACUCGUCUAACCUCUGUCUGGUGGCCUCCAACUCUCGUCUAGAUACAUCAAUGUCAGCACUAAAAGCAAACUGAGUCAAAAAAUCAUGAGCCACAUCCUCUUAGGUGCGAAGUCUCGAAGGCUUAACUAAGGCAAACCAUCUCUAAGCUACUUUACUAAGUGACAAAGGGAAAAAAACCACUAAUUGUGCAUCAUCUAUCCCCUGUGCUCUCAUGACUGUGUUGUAUAGUCUCAAACGGAUCUUGGGACAACCAAUCCCACUAUAACGUUCAAUGUUUAGCAUGCAAAACUUGGUAGGCAAGCUAGCCGUCGGUAUGCCAUCCUUAUCAUCCCAAGUCAAACCUCCAUCCUGUAAUCUAAUCUACCUCAUCUUGGACUCAAGCCUCUCAACCUUGGCCUCAUGCUCGGCCAAUCUAGUAUCAUCAGUAGUAGUAACAAUGGAAGGCGACACUGUGGUAACAUGUGGUGGAGCAGUCUCACAAUGAUUUGAUAGAUGGAAUGAAACGUCAUGUGAAGUCCCAGGUGGAAGAACCUGUGUUGUCUAAGAUGCAUAGGAAACUGUCUCAUCAGUGCUGAUGCCGACUAGAUGAUGAUCUUGGCGAGAACUCUCAAUCUGAUCCAAACGUCUACUAACCCUUGCCAUGAACUCCUAAAUAGAAGCAAGUGUAGAAGCUAGCUCGUCUGACAUCUCAACUAAACUGUUUGAACUUUGAUGUGAAUCUGCUCUGAUCAAUUGACCUCCAAUUCUCCUCCAAGAAUGUGAGUCCAAACUCAACCAACUCCUAAAUUGACUCCCUACAAUGCAAACGAAAUGGAUGGACACAAGAUAGAACCCUAAAAGACAACCAUACAACAUGUAAACACAUGAUCCUGAGGUGGCAAUCCGAAAUCUGGAUGUAUGAUGAGAACUCUGGAGUCAUAAAGGUGUCCACUAUGAGAUGGCUACAAUUGUGACUAGAGAAUUCCUAUCAAUAAUCCAAUAUGAAAGAGGUGUGAGAAACACAAUAUCACAAGAUUGAUGCUCCAUCUAUAACCACAUAUCCUUAACUUAACCUUGAACUUGAGCUCCAUAAAGAGAAAAAAAAAAUACGGUGAUCAAGGCGAAUCUCUGGAAAAAAUGUGACUGUGAAAACAUGUUUUUCACCUUUCCGUAAUGAAAAUGUGAGCAUCGAGUUGAAAAUUGAAUCAAUGAUCAAACAAAGAAUGAGAUAUUGGGCUCGUGAUAGGUGUACAGUGUAAAAAGAUGAUCAUGAUCAACAAACAUAUCCCAAAGCAUCCAACAAGCGACAACAAAAAGAAAGGAUGUGUCAAGCUAAGAAAUAAAUAUGAAAGCCCUAGGGAGAAAACAAGCUAAACUCAAUGAGCGACAAAAAGAAACCAAAACUAUACAGCAAUGGGUGGUCCAACUGAUACUCAAACUUGCAUUGAUCUCUAAGCACUCUCAACUAAAGACCAAAAGAGGGAGUAUUGGAUCCGAACUGUAACUAAAGAGGCUCUAAAAGUUCUUAGAUGCACCCACGUGUAGGGAAAGGAAUCCUAAUUGAAGGAUCUAAGGCUUUACUUAUAAGGUCAAUGUGGCUCUAAAAAGAAGAAAUAUAGGCUUUCAAGGGUCCCUAGUAGAAGCGAUCAUAUCCUUUGGCAGUAUGCAACCCUUUGUAUGCCUCCAAAGAGACAGGGCGCUUCCAUGUAAGGUGGUCAUUACCUCCACACAUGCACUACCUCGCAGCUCAGAGAACUCCUAUGGUGAAGGCUCUCCUAAUGACUGACGUAUCUCACAACUCUGAUCACUCAUCGACAACCUAAGGUGCAUAGUGAGUGGCGUGGGUGCAUCCAAAAAUCCUAUGAAACUAAAAGAAAACACACUGGACACACAAAUAUCCUGAAAUCUAGCUCUAAGCUAUACAAGUCUUCAAAGGUCAUACUCUAAUCAACAUUGUUAGCAGAUCGAAGGGUUGGCUGCGUCCAUCAACUCCCCUUAUGUUCGCCGUGGGCGCUUGGGUGAAUGCAUUAUAAGGGUAGGGUAUGCGUCUUUCCUACAAACAAUUGCUUUUAGGAGAGUUGGUAGCGUCUGAGGUCCUACAAGUGGUAUCAGAGCCAAGGUCACGGGUUCGAACCCUAGGGGUGUCGUUGAGGGGGAGAUUGUUGGCAGAUCGGAGGGUUGGCCGCGUCCAUCAACUCCCCUUGUGUUUGCCGUGGGCGCUUGGGUGAAUGCACUAUAAGGCUAGGGUAUGCACCUUUUCUACAAGCAAUUGCUUUUAGGAGAGUUGGUAGUGCCUGAGGUCCUACAAACAUCAAUGUGUCGACCACCUCCAAAAUGCUCCCAAACAUAGAUAUAACCCAUCGCUAGACCCUACUCCUAACCACUAGCUCAGUCAAAGAACAAACAAAGCAACAAGUCUCAUAUUGAAUACAAGAUCAAGGAAAACAAGGUCAACCAAGACUAGGGACUUGGAGACAAGAGGAUAGGUGUGUGUCCCACAUAGACAAGCAACUCAUGCAAUCACACAGAAUGAGAGAAGUUAUACAACAGAUAGUCAUGCAAAACACAUGUAUAUCAUCCAAAUCUACACACAACCUAAGCAAGAAAUAUGAUAAUCAAGAUAAUAACUAGCAAGAAUAGCAUGCUCCAAGAUGAUCAAGAUAAUAUACAAGCAAGAGAGCCAACACUAAGAUAAACAAGACAUACAACAAUGUGAAUAUACAUGUCAAAGUGAGCAAGAAAAUCAUGGCAAGAGUAGAUUCAAUCAAUAUCAUCAGCAUGCCAAUGUCGCAAAUGGAUAUAGCAAUCAAACAUAGAAAGUCACCACAUCAAAAUCCUCAAUGUGCUAUGAUCACUCAAGCAUAGAGAAGCACAAAGGGAGGGUAUCCAUCAACCGAAUAAUCAAAUGCCACAUUUGCCUUAACUUGAAUUCAAGUUCGACCCUCAAAAAUUCCCUAGUGGAGUCGCCAUUUUGUGUACCCCACAUUUCUAGCACGAUGCUUUCCCACUCGAUGAUGCGACUCGCUUUUUAUUUAUUCAAUGAAAAUAUGAUUUUUAGAAAAAAAAAACUUGGAGUCGUCACUUAUUUUUGUUUUAUUUUUUUUAAGGAAAAAUAAAAUAAGAAAGAAAACCCUAAGUGUGACUCCUUAUUUGGAAAAGACGGUCUGUGAAAAACCAAAUCUAGGUUCGAGGGUUAGAUUUCCUAGUGGGAAGGUACGGUGGUGAGACGUAACACCCCUCUAAGCCCUAUAAUAAGGUCUCUACUAAUAAGGUGAGACAGAUGUGACAAUUGAUAAGGAAAUCAAUGGAUACCAAUGAAAUGAUCAAAUAAUAAAACGAAUCAUGCAUAAGAAUAAGUGGGAGUAAGAUCGUACCUUAGCAGCAAGUAAUAGUGCGCUAUCAUGGAGACAAAGUUAGCUCAAGUAUAAUAUUAUCACAUGCAUAUCAAAGAACAAGACAAAGAUCAAACAAUAUUCAUUAAGCAUAACUGUUGACAAUCAAAAGAGAAAACUUAUAUGUAGGGCCCCCACUAAAGCCCAAUUUAUUUUGUUAUGAAUUAAUUAUCAUAAAUUCCACUAUUUUGGAAUUAUGAAAAUUUAUUCAUUUUUAUAUUUAAAAUUUUGAAAAUGAGAGCUUUGAAAAUUAAACUUGAAAUUGGAAUUUUGAAAAUUUAUUUGAAAAUGAAAGUUUUGAAAAUUAAAUUUUAAAAAUUGGAAUUUUGAAGAAUUAUUCAAAAAUUAAAUUUAAGAUGAAAAUUGGAAUUUUUGAAAAUUAUUUGAAAAUGAAAGUUUUGAAAAUUAAAAUUUAAAAUUGGAAAUUUGAAGAAUUAUUCGAAAAUGAAAGUUUUGAAAAUUAAAUUUGAGAUGAAAAUUGGGAUUUUGGAAAAUUAUUUGAAAAUGGAAGUUUUGAAAAUUAAAUUUUAAAAUUGGAAUUUUGAAGAAUUAUUUGAAAAUGAAAGUUUUGAAAAUUAAACUUGGAAAUUGGAAUUUUGGAAAAUUAUUCGAGGAAGUUUUGAAAAUUAGAUUUGGAAAUUGGAAUUAAAAAAAAAAUUAUUUGAGAAUGAAAUUUUUGAAAAUUGGAAUUUUGAAAAAACAACAUUUCAAGAUUAAAGUUUGAGAUUAAAUUUUUGUUGGUUUGUAGCCACACAAUUUCAAAGUCCACUAGUGUGUUACAAUUGGACACAAAAUCCCACAACCUUAAUCUUGAAUCUGACUGCACUCUGAAGAUUUAAUAAUAGCACCAAAAUGACUUCUGCAACUAAUGAUAGCACUAACAAUGAUGGUCGACAGCCAAACUGCAACUAUUGCCCCACCUCCAUAGAUAAAAAUUGUGGAUUUGUUUUUUAGUGCAUCCCACAUUUCCAUCAAAUCCGAGAAUGUCCUGCAUCAACUGGACCAGAUUCAUCUAAAGAGGCGUUGAUCUGGAGUGAGGAAAACCUAUUGGAAUCUUCUCGUGAGAGAUCCGUUUGACAUGGAUGACCCGUUUUUGGCAGUAAACUUGAACGACUUUCCCUUCUCGGCCCUUGAAGGUUCCCCGAACGACCUGGACCUCGUCGUCCUUGCGAAUAGGCAUGGAGCGAACGUUGUACUUGCUGCGGAGGUUAGUGGAGAGUGGUGCGCUCAUCAGCACUCGUUGAACACUCGAUGACACCGUGAAGUAAGGGUGUUAGGAAAAAUGCAGCUGGAGGUUGCUCCCAAGAGGAUGUAGUUGCAGAAGAAGAAGACUUUGUGGGUGUGGUAGUGUGAUUAUGUGACUAAGCUUGACUGGCUAUGGAUGGAGAGACCCGUUUUGAGGGUUUCCGGCGAAAUUUAGUGGCGGGUAGUGGAUUCCAAUGAGUAUUGGACUGUGGUGGUGGAUAUGAGAGAGAAAAGAAGUGAUCAAGCUAGCACAAUCACUUGAUAUUUUGGCAUUCUUGGUAGAAUUAACAUAAAUAAAAGGCAUGAUUUUCAAGCAUCAAACUCAACUGAAACAAAGACAAAAUAAAUAGAAGUGGGAAAUAGACUUAACACAUUCAAGCGCCAAAACAAAAAUCCAAAUAUCAACAAGAAACAUGGUAUGACUGUAAAAAAAAAUAGAGAACCUAAGAUGUGAAAUGGUCAAACUUGAGCGAUUCCUCCUGAGCAAAUAUUGUCUAGCUUCCAGCAAGCUGCAAUCUCCCUCAUCUGUUGCUCAUUUUCUCAUCCCUCGCUAUCUCUGUUUUUUCACGUUAUGCCAUUUUCCCUUUAUUUUCCUUCCUCUCCAAGCUUCUACCAACCCCACUCGUUCCAUUGCUCCUUGCUCAGAAGCUGUUAAGAAAAAAAUAAAAAUAAAAAAUAAAAAAAAUCCCCCAUCUCAACCACCACCAUGGCAAGGUGGUGGUGUCCUUGGCCAUGCGUCCCAUGCAUGCAACUCACUUGGAAAGUCGACCACCUACUCCUCCAAGAUGUUGCUAGCUCUUCCUAUUAUGGUAAAAAAAUAAAAAAAAAAGGAAAAAAAACUUUUGGUCCACAAAGGGGUCUACAAUAAUAGAGUGAUCAAGUGUUUAGGUUGUUUAUUUCUUAUUAUUAUAUAAAUAUUGUUAAAUGUUAAAUUGCAUGUUUUUAUUAAUAUUUGAAAGGUUAGACUUAUUUAUAUUUAGAUGUUAAAAAUAUUUAAAAAUUAGUUAUUAUAUUUUUUAAUUUGACUUUAAAAUUAAUAAUAUAAAAAUGGUAAUUUAAUAUAUUUUAAAAUAUACCAAAAUAUCAUAAUUUAUUACUAUAAUAAAAUUUUAUAAUAAUUAAUUAUAUAAUUGGUUGAAAAUUGAUAAUUACAUAAUAAUUAGGAUUUUUAAUUAUACUUGGUAGUUAAUAAAAUGUUAGAAAUUUUCUUAGUUAAAACUUAUUUUUAUGUAACCUAUCUUGGGAUUUAUGAAUAAUAUAGUUGAGAUUAAUUUAUUAAAUUUUUAAUUUUUAAUUUGGGAAAAAUAUUAAAAUCUAAAUUUUAUUUUUUAAAUUAACUGAAAAUGUUUAUUCUAGUGAAUAAUUAGAUGAGUGUAAAUUAGGAAUAUAAGUUCAAGCUCAUGAACUAACUGAACCAAUUUUAACCAAUCCAUUGUAGCCUAAUUAGUUUGGUUUUUCAUUUAAAGACGUUUGGUUCAGCUUGCAAAAUAAAAAUAAAUAAAAAACUUAAAUAAGUGGUAUUUAUUUUUUUUUGUCUAAAGUCUGAAUGGAAUAUUAUUAAGUGUUUAGGUCAUUUAUUUUUUUAUUAAUGCUAAAUAUUUUUAAGUAUUAAAUUGCUUGUUUUUAGUAAUGUAUAAAGGUUUAAACUUAUUUAUUUUUACACAUUAAAAAUAACUAUAAAAUUAGUUAUUAUUAUUAUUAUUUUAAAUUAAUAAUUUAAGAAAUAGUAAUUUAAUAUAUUUACAACUAUCUCAAAAUAUUAUAAUUUAUUACCAUAACAAAAAAUUUAUAAUAAUUAAUUAUGUAAUUUAUACAAAAUUAAUAAUUAGAUAAUUAUUAGGAUUUUUAGUUAUGCUUGGUUGUUAAGAAAAUGUUAAAAAAUUUCUAAGUUAAAUUUUAUUUUUAUAUAAUAUAUUUUCAGAUUUAUGAAUAUUGUUGAGAUUAAUUAUUAAUUUUUUUCUUUUUAAUUUGGGAAAAAUAAGAAAGACUAAAAUUUUAGUUUUCAAAAUUAAUUGGAAUUUUUUUAUUCUAAUGAACAAUUAGAUAAGUGUAAAUUCAAGGACAUGAACGACCCUAAUUUGACUUCAACCAGUCCAAUCUAGUCUAAUUAGUUUGGUUUUCAAUUAAAGAUAUUUGAUUUAGUUUGCAAAACAAAAAAAAAAACACACCAAAAAAACAAAAACAAAAAAUGCUUACGUGUUCAUUUGAAAACAAUGAACCAAUGGGAAGUGAACCUACCUAACCUUGUCUAUUAUAUAUGCUACUUAAUCAAUGUCAUUCGGUUUGAAUUAAGAAAAUUUGUAGUAAAUUUAUUUUUUAGUCUAGAUUUUAUAAUUUUAUUAUUCAAUGAGGAGUAUACAUAAAUUUAUGAAAUUUAGUCUAAUUGAAAUUGGAUGAAUUAUGUAUGAGAUAAAAAUAAUGGCUAUUUGCUAUAGAAUGUUGAUUUUAGUUUUAAACUUUUUAGAUUUAAUAUAAAUUUAUUUUAGAUUAAUUUUUUAUCCAAAUUAAGUAAUUUUAAUAUUGUUUGUUUAAUUAUUAGUAGCAAUUCACUGAGAAUAUUUUAGCUAUAAAUUAUCUUGAUAAAAAAUAGAAUGAAUAAAUAAAGCAAAGCCUAUUGAACGUAUAGUAGGAUUUUUUAUGACAAAUUUACUAAUCUAUGAUACAAUCAUUUAUCACUCACAUUACACAAAAUUGAAAUAAAUUAUUCUUUAAAAAAAAAAAUUAAGAGAUGUGGAAAAUUUUCAAAAAUAAAUUUGGUUUAUUUUGUAUAACGAAUUAAAUUUGAGUACUAUGAUAAAGUUAAUGGUUGAAAGGAGAGAAAAUAACUUUUUUCUAGUAAGAUAAAAGUUAUAAAAAAAAUUACUUUUUCUGUUGAGACAAAAUUGUCUUUAAAAAAUGUUAAAUUAAAAAAAAACUAUAAAAAUAUAUUGAAUCUUAAAACAAGUUACUUUUAGACUUAAAAGUGUUGGAAAUCAAGCCCACGUCGCCUUCCUGCUUGUGCAUGUUCCUCCCCAUAUUUAGCAUCCUCUGUUUACUUCCCUAAAUUAGUGUAAUGUACAACCUUUAUUAUAAUUGAUUUAGGAGUAAUUCUAGCAAGGUAGUUUAUUCACUUUCCAUGUAAGAGUUUAUUCACUUUCCAUGUAACACUUUCCAUGUAAGGGAAAUUCCGUCCGUGAUAGUGUACCAUUCCGGAAUUGUCUCAUAUCUAUAGGAUAUUUAUUUAUGCUUUCUUUCAUUGUAAAAAAAAAAAAAAAAAAGUAUCACAGAAUGAAUUGAGUAUGUGUUCCUCCAUAGUUUGUCUUCAAAUUCUUCAUGGUAUCAGAGCAGGUUUAAUCCUGUCUCAUCGUCUUCAUCUUUAGUCAGUAUUUUUUUUUUCCUACUCAAUUCUAUUCUUCUAGUUUAUGCCUAAAUACGGUCCAGCCUUUGGAAUGGCUACCAACUCAUCAUCCUCUACUUCUGAUAUCAUCAUCUCAUCGUCUUCAUCCUCUCAUCAGAUGGAAACCUCUCAUCUUCCAAUCACAGCCCAUAAACUGAAUGGGCAAAAUUAUUUGCAAUGGUCUCAGUCCAUAUUAAUGUUUAUACGGGGAAAGGAGAAAGAUGACUACAUCACCGGAGCUUCGGCGGCACCAGAAACCACAGCAUCAACCUACAAAAAGUGGAUAGCAGAAAAUAAUAUGGUCAUGUCCUGGCUAGUCAACUCUAUGACCACUGACAUUGGUGAAAAUUUUUUGUCAUUUGAUACUGCCAAAGAAAUCUGGGACAUUGCAAAAGAAACUUUCUCAGACAAGGAAAACACAUCUGAAAUCAUCCAGAUUGAAGGCAUCCUCCACGAUUUGCGUCAAGGUAACCUUACGGUAACUGAAUAUUUCAAUACUCUUACUCGUCUAUGGCGUCAACUUGAUACGUUUGAGGUUCAUAACUGAAAUUGUGUUACAGAUGGUUUGUUGUAUAAAAAGAUUGUCGAAGGGAAACGUGUGUUUAAAUUUUUGUUAGGCUUGAACAAAAAUCUUGAUGAAAUCAGAGGAAGAAUCAUGGGAGUAAAACCUCUACCUAGCCUCAGAAAGGCAUUCUCUGAAGUCCAUCGCGAAGAAAGUCGGAAAAAUCUAAUGAUGGGAUCCCAUCAACAACUGAAUAUGGCAGAAAGCUCGGCUCUUAAGACUCAAUUUGCUCCUUUUGACAACUGUCAAAAAAUUAAAGGAGGUAGACCUUGGUGUGAUCAUUGCAGAAAGCCGGGACACUCAAGAGAAAUUUGCUGGAAGAUUCAUGGAAAGCCAGUAGAUUGGAAGCCACGUCAACCACUUGAGAAAGAAGGACGAGGCAAUCAUGUGGCUACCGAUGAACAAUCGCCACAACCUGAAGCUAGCCCUUUUAAUAAGUAGCAAAUGGAGAUGCUUCAGAAACUACUGUCUCCUCUUUUGUCAGUACAGUCACAAACUGGCUAAUCUUCCAACCAGGUCAUUGGUUCCGGAACCUUGGCUCACAAAGGUAAUUUUUUGAGUGCCUUCACUGCUGGUAAGAAACGUAAAAAACCUUGGAUAGUGGACUCAGGAGCAUCUGAUCAUAUGACGGGAGAUGCGACAAUUUUUGAUACAUAUAGCUCAUGUCCAAAUAAUUUAACAGUCCGAAUAGCAGAUGGUUCACUAUCAAAGGUUGCCGAAACAGGUUCAGUUGUGCUAUCAAGGGAUCUUACUCUCAACUCUGUUCUCCUUGUUCCUAACUUGGACUAUAAUCUAUUGUCAAUUAGUAAACUCACUAAGGAAAAGAGGUGUAUUACUAAUUUUUCCUCUACUCACUGUGAAUUUCAGGAUUUGGAUUCGGGGAAGACGAUUGGCAAUGCUGAGGAAUGCUCUGGACUCUACAUCCUUAAGGAGCGCCACGAUCCACAAGAACAACCUCAAAUGACAGUUGGUAGUAAUUCUUUUUCGGUUUCAUGUCAAAAUAACGAUAAUGCAAUUAGGUUGUGGCACUAUCGCUUAGGUCAUCCAAAUGUUAUGUAUCUCAAGCAUUUAUUUCCUUCAUUAUUUAAUAAAAAUCCACAAUCCUUUGAGUGUGAAAUCUGUCAAUUAUCAAAGCAAGUCCGGUCUCAUUUUCCCAUUCAACCCUAUAAAGAGUCUAGUCCAUUCUCAAUGAUUCAUAGCGAUAUCUGGGGUCCAUCAAGAAUAAAAAAUGUAACUGGUACUAGGUGGUUUGUCUCAUUCAUAGAUGAUCACACUAGAUUAACUUGGGUAUUCCCUCAUGAAAAGAAAAAAUCUGAAACGAGUCAAAUUUCCAAAAAUUUUAAAAAUAUGAUUCAAACCCAAUUCCAGUCAAAAAUAUAAAUUCCAAAAGUCCUGAUAAUGCUAGGGAUUAUUUCCAUUCUAGGAGAAUUUCUAGCACAAGAAGGGAUAGUUCACUUAAGUUCAUGUGUUGAUACCCCACAACAAAACGGAAUCGCUGAAAGGAAAAAUAGGCAUUUGUUAGAGGUGGCUAGAUCACUAAUGUUCUCCAUGAAUGUUCCAAAAUUAUUAUGGGGGCAAGCUGUCCUUACGGCAGCCUACCUCAUCAAUAGGAUGCCGUCUAGGGUACUAAAAUUCCAAACACCUUGUCAAACACUCCUAAAAUCCUUUCCGACUACUCGUCUC